AAUAUAAGUAAUUUUGAGUUUUUACUUGCACUGUUUGACCACUCGUCUUAUUAAAAAAAUUUGGAAUUAUUAUUUACUUUUCUUGUGACUUACUUUAUUAUCCAAAGUACUUUAAGUACAACUUUUCGUUUUUUUUAUUUGCACAAAUUUUUUGAAUAAGACGAGUGGUCAAACGGUGCAAGCAAAAACUCAAAAUCCCUUAUA
rfam:Oryza glumipatula chromosome 7, whole genome shotgun sequence.